rnacentral:rRNA from 1 species
AUUGAACGCUGGCGGCAUGCCUUACACAUGCAAGUCGAACGGCAGCGGGGGAGAAGCUUGCUUUUCCUGCCGGCGAGUGGCGAACGGGUGAGUAAUACAUCGGAACGUGCCCUGUAGUGGGGGAUAACUAGUCGAAAGAUUAGCUAAUACCGCAUACGACCUGAGGGUGAAAGUGGGGGACCGCAAGGCCUCAUGCUAUAGGAGCGGCCGAUGUCUGAUUAGCUAGUUGGCGGGGUAAAGGCCUACCAAGGCGACGAUCAGUAGCUGGUCUGAGAGGACGAGCAGCCACACUGGGACUGAGACACGGCCCAGACUCCUACGGGAGGCAGCAGUGGGGAAUUUUGGACAAGGGGCGAAAGCCUGAUCCAGCAAUGCCGGGUGUGUGAAGAAGGCCUUCGGGUUGUAAAGCACUUUUGUCCGGAAAGAAAUGGCUCUGGUUAAUACCUGGGGUCGAUGACGGUACCGGAAGAAUAAGGACCGGCUAACUACGUGCCAGCCGCCGCCGUAA